rnacentral:rRNA from 1 species
CCUACGGGAGGCAGCAGUGGGGGAUAUUGCACAAUGGGGGAAACCCUGAUGCAGCGACGCCGCGUGUGGGAAGACGGUCCUAUGGUUUGUAAACCACUGUCCCCAGGGACGAAGAUGACGGUACCUUGGGAGGAAGCCCCGGCUAACUACGUGCCAGCAGUCGCGGUAAUACGGAGGGAGCGAGCGUUGUCCGGAAUUACUGGGUGUAACGGGAGCGUAGGCGGGGAUGUAAGUUGGGUGUCAAAACUACCGGCUCAACUGGUAGUCGCACUCAAAACUGGAGCUCUUGAGUGAAGGAGAGGCAGGCGGAAUUCCUGGUGUAGCGGUGAAAUGCGUAGAUAUUAGGAGGAACACCAGUGGCGAAGGCGGCCUGCUGGGCUUUUACUGACGCUGAGGCUCGAAAGUGUGGGGAGCAAACAGGAUUAGAUACCCUGGUAGUC